rnacentral:lncRNA from 1 species
CAUUCACCUGGUAAUACCAUUCCUCAGGUCCUUGCUGUUUAUUGUUUGGCCAAAGAGUUCAAAGUUUCCUAAGACAGGAUCACCUGGAGGUAUUUGUUGAAUGUACAGAUUCUCAGAUCAGCUCAAAAUCUGCAUCUGAACCUUUUAUACGUUAAAGUUUUUAAGAACUGCUAAGUGUCCUUAAGGCAUAUGGUACUUUUUUUUUAAGGCCAUAUACAGGCUACUUUUCAUAAUUCCUUUUUGAAACUGUCUUUAAGGACUGCUCUAAUAGAUGGGCUCUAUCCUAAGUGCUUCUCCCCUUAAGAAGCAUUUUAUUUGGCCUUCUGCCCCACUGUCAGUAGCAUAAGCUGACUGAGUUUCUAUUACCAUUAACGUCCUUCUUUUUAUGCUCCUUGUUCUAUUUUCCUUUGUGUUGCAGUAUAGAUGAAUGAAGAAAAAAGUGAAGACCGAAAGACAUUCAGAAAAGAGAGCAGACAAAAGAGAAGUGAUAGUGAACAAGUGCUAGAAAUACAAGACAGAAACGAGAUUUGGGAAAAAUUUGGGAUAGAUGGAAUCUAUCAUUUGAUAAAUAGACCUGCUCCUAACUAUUUCGCCAUCAAGCUUUGGAUUGAAUGAGACGCAGACAAGAUGCCUUCACUUGUGAGUUGCUGUGAGUUGCUGACCAGGACCCCUUCCUGAAGCUACUCUCCUAUUCCAGUGGUGCAAACAAUGUGUGUCUGAGAAGGGGACAUUGUUUCCAUUGUUUCCACCUCCAUUGUUUUACAAUGUUUUGAAUUCUUUUUUUUUUUUUUUCAUUAGAAUACAGUUGAUAUACAAUGUUGCAUUAGUUUCUCCUGUACAGCAAAGUAUAUCAGUCAUACAUAUACGUAUAUCAACUCUUUUAGAUUCUUUUCCCAU